rnacentral:rRNA from 1 species
AAAACGGGUGGUAAUGCCGGAUGCUCCGACUCCUCGCAUGGGGUGUCGGGAAAGAUUUCAUCGGUAUGGGAUGGGGUCGCGUCCUAUCAGGUAGUCGGCGGGGUAACGGCCCACCGAGCCUACGACGGGUAGCCGGCCUGAGAGGGCGACCGGCCACAUUGGGACUGAGAUACGGCCCAGACUCCUACGGGAGGCAGCAGUGGGGAAUAUUGCACAAUGGGCGCAAGCCUGAUGCAGCGACGCCGCGUGCGGGAUGACGGCCUUCGGGUUGUAAACCGCUUUUGAUCGGGAGCAAGCCUUCGGGUGAGUGUACCUUUCGAAUAAGCACCGGCUAACUACGUGCCAGCAGCCGCGGUAAUACGUAGGGUGCAAGCGUUAUCCGGAAUUAUUGGGCGUAAAGGGCUCGUAGGCGGUUCGUCGCGUCCGGUGUGAAAGUCCAUCGCUUAACGGUGGAUCUGCGCCGGGUACGGGCGGGCUGGAGUGCGGUAGGGGAGACUGGAAUUCCCGGUGUAACGGUGGAAUGUGUAGAUAUCGGG